rnacentral:misc_RNA from 1 species
AUUGGAGAGGCCUACUUUCACAUUGUUACAGCAGUUAUUUCACAACACUGCGAGAAACAAUUUAAAAAUUAGCAUGUUGUAGAAAUAAAACAUUUAAAUGUCUCUGUUUAGCAAUGUUGAAGUUUCUGACAGCUCGAGAGAGUGGUAUAGACAGUCCCGUUGUCCUGAGACGAAUCGAAUCGACGAAACGAGCUUACUCCUUGGAGCUCAGUAAACACAGAGAUGUAGAAUGUGUUUUUUAUGGCGGUAUAAACUCUCUGGAUAUAGACCCAGUGGAAUCAAGAUAUCUAUUGUCAGGGACAGUCUCUGGAACAUUACAUAUACAUGAUCUGACAAACCAUUCGGGGGAAGUGAAGCACACCACCAAAGCAGUUUGCAAUGUUAGCCGCUCCAACACAUAUAAACAUAAACACAGUGUGGAGACAGUUCAGUGGUAUCCUUUGGAUACUGGGAUGUUUCUGUCUACUCCACACUGAAGCUGGUGGAUCUUAAAUCAGGCUCUGCCACGCACAUGCUCAAGGGCCACAAGAAGUCCAUUCUGACAGUAAGAUGGUCACCCAAGAAUGAAUAUCUACUGGUAUCUGGCAGUGAAGACAACAGGGUACUUCUGUGGGACGUCAGAAGUUCUAAGGGGUCACUGAUGAGCCUGGACCAAUUCAACGGACAGGAAGUUCCAACAUUUCUUAGUGCAUGCACUGCACAUAGUGGCAAUGUGAAUGGGAUGUCUUUCACCAUGGAUGGGCUGCACCUGGUGACCUCCGGCACAGACAACAGAAUCAGGCUGUGGAAUAUCGAAACAGGACGGAACACACUGGUGAAUUAUGGGAAGAUUCAAAAUGAGACCAGGAAAGGCCUGCAGUUUGCAGUCUCCUGCUGGUGCAAGUCAGAUCUGAUAUACAUUCCUGAUGAGUACUGCAACAUACAAGUUUACGAGAUGUUUACGGGCAGAAAAAUCGACACACUUAGGGGACACCUUCAGCAGGUCAACUGUUGCGUGUUCCAUCCCGACUACCAGGAGUUGUACAGUGGAGGAAAUGACCGCAAUGUCCUAAUUUGGGAACCCGAAUUAGACGGUUCUUAUGACAAUUAUCUGAAGGAACGUAGUUCUAAGAAGCAGACUCAGAGUAGGAGUUUUGUGUCUAGAAUAGCAGCCACUGCUGACUCCUGGAGCAGUGAUGAAGAAACUUGACAAAACAAAUAUUGAAGCAGACAUCUCCAAAGUGCAAUGGUUUCAUUUAAGGAUGUGACCUUUUGACUUCAGUUGCAAAUUUUGACCCUACAGUGUAGAUCAAAAUGGAUCCAUGGCCAUGAAUGCUCAUACUCCAGUACAUAUAUUGACAUUAUUUCGUUGUGAAGGAGUCUGAUGAAACAGUAUGUGAAAAAAAAAAUAGAGAAACAAAAUUGAAAUAAAUCUAGACAGUUAUAACCUUUACACCAUUGUACUCAAAGUACUAGGUUGUUUCACAAGUAAAAACAUGCAAAAAAGAAUGAAAUAAUACAUUGAAUGAAUAAUACAAGGUUCAUUUGAACUCUCUUCGAAUUGUUAAUACCAGUAGGUACCAAAUAUAUGAUAUAUGAACUACAUACUACCAGUACCCUGAAGAUCUAUUUCAAAAAAAUAAUAAACACAACUAAAG